rnacentral:rRNA from 1 species
UUAAGUGAAUAAGGGCGCACGGUGGAUGCCUUGGCACUAGGAGCCGAUGAAGGACGGGACUAACACCGAUAUGCUUUGGGGAGCUGUAAGUAAGCUAUGAUCCAGAGAUUUCCGAAUGGGGGAACCCAAUAUCUUUUAUAGGAUAUUACUUUUCAGUGAAUACAUAGCUGAUUAGAGGUAGACGCAGAGAACUGAAACAUCUUAGUACCUGCAGGAAGAGAAAGAAAAUUCGAUUCCCUGAGUAGCGGCGAGCGAAACGGGAAGAGCCCAAACCAACAAGCUUGCUUGUUGGGGUUGUAGGACUCCAAUAUGGUAGUCUGUUAGUAUAGUUGAAGGAUUUGGAAAAUUCCGCUAAAAAGGGUGAAAGCCCCGUAGACGAAAUGCUGACAACACCUAGGAGGAUCCUGAGUACGGCGGAACACGAGAAAUUCCGUCGGAAUCCGCGGGGACCAUCCCGCAAGGCUAAAUACUCCCUAGUGACCGAUAGUGAACCAGUACCGUGAGGGAAAGGUGAAAAGCACCCCGGAAGGGGAGUGAAAUAGAUCCUGAAACCGUGUGCCUACAACAAGUCAAAGCUCGUUAAUGAGUGAUGGCGUGCCUUUUGUAGAAUGAACCGGCGAGUUACGAUUGCAUGCGAGGUUAAGUCGAAGAGACGGAGCCGCAGCGAAAGCGAGUCUGAAUAGGGCGAAUGAGUAUGUAGUCGUAGACCCGAAACCAUGUGAUCUACCCAUGUCCAGGUUGAAGGUGCGGUAAAACGCACUGGAGGACCGAACCCACGUACGUUGAAAAGUGCGGGGAUGAGGUGUGGGUAGCGGAGAAAUUCCAAACGAACUUGGAGAUAGCUGGUUCUCUCCGAAAUAGCUUUAGGGCUAGCCUCGGAAUUGAGAAUGAUGGAGGUAGAGCACUGUUUGGACUAGGGGCCCAUCUCGGGUUACCGAAUUCAGAUAAACUCCGAAUGCCAUUCAUUUAUAUCCGGGAGUCAGACUGCGAGUGAUAAGAUCCGUAGUCGAAAGGGAAACAGCCCAGACCACCAGCUAAGGUCCCAAAAUAUAUGUUAAGUGGAAAAGGAUGUGGGGUUGCACAGACAACUAGGAUGUUGGCUUAGAAGCAGCCACCAUUUAAAGAGUGCGUAAUAGCUCACUAGUCGAGUGACCCUGCGCCGAAAAUGUACCGGGGCUAAACAUAUUACCGAAGCUGUGGACUACACCAUUAGGUGUAGUGGUAGGAGAGCGUUCUAAGGGCGUUGAAGGUCGAUCGUGAGGACGGCUGGAGCGCUUAGAAGUGAGAAUGCCGGUAUGAGUAGCGAAAGACAGGUGAGAAUCCUGUCCACCGUAUGACUAAGGUUUCCUGGGGAAGGCUCGUCCGCCCAGGGUUAGUCGGGACCUAAGCCGAGGCCGAUAGGCGUAGGCGAUGGACAACAGGUUGAUAUUCCUGUACCAGUUGUUUUUGUUUGAACAAUGGAGGGACGCAGUAGGCUAAGGAAUGCAUGCGAUUGGAAGUGCAUGUCCAAGCAAUGAGUCUUGAGUAGAGUUAAAUGCUUUACUCUUUAAGGACAAGUUGUGACGGGGAGCGAAAUAAUAGUAGCGAAGUUCCUGAUGUCACACUGCCAAGAAAAGCUUCUAGUGAGAAAACAACUGCCCGUACCGUAAACUGACACAGGUAGUCGAGGAGAGUAUCCUAAGGUGAGCGAGCGAACUCUCGUUAAGGAACUCGGCAAAAUGACCCCGUAACUUCGGGAGAAGGGGUGCUGACUUCGGUCAGCCGCAGUGAAUAGGCCCAAGCGACUGUUUAUCAAAAACACAGGUCUCUGCAAAAUCGUAAGAUGAAGUAUAGGGGCUGACGCCUGCCCGGUGCUGGAAGGUUAAGAGGAUGGGUUAGCUUCGGCGAAGCUCAGAAUUGAAGCCCCAGUAAACGGCGGCCGUAACUAUAACGGUCCUAAGGUAGCGAAAUUCCUUGUCGGGUAAGUUCCGACCCGCACGAAAGGCGUAACGAUUUGGGCACUGUCUCAACGAGAGACUCGGUGAAAUUUUAGUACCUGUGAAGAUGCAGGUUACCCGCGACAGGACGGAAAGACCCCAUGGAGCUUUACUGUAGUUUGAUAUUGAGUGUUUGUACCACAUGUACAGGAUAGGUAGGAGCCGAUGAGACCGGAACGCUAGUUUCGGAGGAGGCGCUGGUGGGAUACUACCCUUGUGUUAUGAACCCUCUAACCCGCACCACUAAUCGUGGUGGGAGACAGUGUCAGAUGGGCAGUUUGACUGGGGCGGUCGCCUCCUAAAAGGUAACGGAGGCGCCCAAAGGUUCCCUCAGAAUGGUUGGAAAUCAUUCGAAGAGUGUAAAGGCAGAAGGGAGCUUGACUG